rnacentral:rRNA from 1 species
CCUACGGGUGGCAGCAGUGGGGAAUAUUGCACAAUGGGGGAAACCCUGAUGCAGCGACGCCGCGUGAGGGAAGAAGUAUUUCGGUACGUAAAGCUCUAUCAGCCGGGAAGAAAAUGACGGUACCUGACUAAGAAGCCCCGGCUAACUACGUGCCAGCAGCCGCGGUAAUACGGAGGGGGCAAGCGUUAUCCGGAUUUACUGGGUGUAAAGGGAGCGUAGACGGCAGCGCAAGUCUGGAGUGAAAUCCCAUGGCUUAACCAUGGAACUGCUUUGGAAACUGUGCAGCUAGAGUGCAGGAGAGGUAAGCGGAAUGCCUAGUGUAGCGGUGAAAUGCGUAGAUAUUAGGAGGAACACCAGUGGAGAAGGCGGCUUACUGGACUGUAACUGACGUUGAGGCUCGAAAGCGUGGGGAGCAAACAGGAUUAGAUACCCCGGUAGUC